rnacentral:rRNA from 1 species
UGAGGAAUAUUGGACAAUGGGCGCAAGCCUGAUCCAGCCAUGCCGCGUGCAGGAUGAAGCAUCUAUGGUGUGUAAACUGCUUUUGUACGAGAAGAAACACUGCUUCGUGAAGCAGCUUGACGGUAUCGUAAGAAUAAGGAUCGGCUAACUCCGUGCCAGCAGCCGCGGUAAUACGGAGGAUCCAAGCGUUAUCCGGAAUCAUUGGGUUUAAAGGGUCCGUAGGCGGGCCAGUAAGUCAGUGGUGAAAUCUCCCGGCUCAACCGGGAAAUGGCCAUUGAUACUGCUGGUCUUGAAUUAUUAGGAAGUAACUAGAAUAUGUAGUGUAGCGGUGAAAUGCUUAGAGAUUACAUGGAAUACCAAUUGCGAAGGCAGGUUACUACUAAUGGAUUGACGCUGAUGGACGAAAGCGUGGGUAGCGAACA